rnacentral:lncRNA from 1 species
UUGUGCUUGCCUAGAGACAUACCCACAGCUGCAUAAGAGAAGAAGAAUUGCACAGACAGCUUUACUGGUAAGACAAAGUCCUGCUGUUCUAGAAAUGCCUGAAUCCUCACCUACCCUUGAGCUUCCCACUUUGUACAUGUUUUUCCACUUAAUUCUUUCUAUAAAAUACAGUGGGGCUUUGUUCUGAUUUCAUCUAUCUAUCUAUCUAUCUAAGUUAAGGGAGGUUCAACAGAAUGCAUAUUAUAAGAAAAAAAUGUUAAGGGAGGGUAACAUAUAUGAACUUCAAAUAAAACUAACUAGAAAUCCAGCAGACAGUAUUGCUAAAUUUGGGGAUUUUCUUUCAGUUCCUUGGAUCAUUUACCAUCCGCUUCCUCAUAAAACAAGCAGUUCAGGAUUGUUGCUGGAACCCACAGAGAAAUUCCAUAGGCAGUUGGAUAUGAGUCUGAGCUCAAUAAACAGGUCAGGAUUAGAACUUCAGAGCGUUCCAUUUACAGAAAGUACUUAAACCAAUGAUACUGUCUAGAAUCAUUGAGAACAGUGGUUCUGAAACUGAGAGAUGAGGGUACAUAGGAGGUGGCGAUCUUGCUUCCAGGGCACACUGGGCAAUGUCUGGAGGCAUUUUUUAUUGUCACAAUUCAGGCAGGGAGUGCUACUGGCAACUAGUGUGUAGAGGCCAGGGAUACUGCCAAAUAUCCUACAAUACACAACAAAGAAUAAUAUAGCCCAAAAUGUCAGUUGUGCCAAGGUUGACAAAUCCU